rnacentral:sRNA from 1 species
UUCAGAUGACAACGCCCGCCUCCCCUGCUUCAACGGAAGGGUGGUAUCCUGGCUGGUGUCCUCAGAUAAUCCCCAACCCGAGAUGGCCCCUCCAGUCCAUGAGCCUCGGGCAGAACUGGCGCCUCCAGCCCCACCUUUACCCCCUUUGCCACCCGAGAGGACCAGCGGCAUUGGGGACUCAAGGCCUCCAUCCUUCCACCCUAAUGUGUCCAGCAGCCAUGAGAAUCUGGAGCCUGAGACAGAAACCGAGUCAGUAGUGUCACUGAGGCGGGAGCGGCCUCGCAGGAGAGACAGCAGUGAGCAUGGCGCUGGGGGCCACAGGACUGGUGGCCCCUCAAGGCUGGAGCGCCACCUGGCCGGAUACGAGAGCUCCUCUACCCUCAUGACCAGCGAGCUGGAGAGUACCAGCCUGGGGGACUCGGACGAGGAGGACACCAUGAGCAGGUUCAGCAGCUCCACGGAGCAGAGCAGUGCCUCCCGCCUCCUUAAGCGCCACCGGCGGCGAAGGAAGCAGCGGCCACCCCGCCUGGAGAGGGUGAGGGCUUCCUACAGGAAGGCUGGUGCUGGGAGAAGGUGGGG